UGGGGAAUCUUGCGCAAUGGGCGAAAGCCUGACGCAGCGACGCCGCGUGGGGGAAGAAGGCCUUAGGGUUGUAAACCUCUUUCAGCAGGGACGAAGCCACUCGGGUUAAUAGCCCAGAGGGUGACGGUACCUGCAGAAGAAGCCCCGGCUAACUACGUGCCAGCAGCCGCGGUAAUACGUAGGGGGCAAGCGUUGUCCGGAUUUAUUGGGCGUAAAGAGCGUGUAGGCGGCCGCACAGGUCCGUUGUGAAAACUGGAGGCUUAACCUUCAGACGUCGAUGGAAACCGUGCGGCUAGAGUCCGGAAGAGGAGAGUGGAAUUCCUGGUGUAGCGGUGAAAUGCGCAGAUAUCAGGAAGAACACCCGUGGCGAAGGCGGCUCUCUGGGACGGUACUGACGCUGAGACGCGAAAGCGUGGGGAGCGAACA
rnacentral:rRNA from 1 species